GCUAUUUUUAAGGCUUGUGUUGAAUUCAGAAUCCCAGUAUUUCAAGAGAAAUUUAAUGGCGUCCUCCUGUUUCUUGCUACUCAGAAAGUCAUCUGCAGAAUCACCUGUGAGAGCUUGUUAGCGAUGCGGAGGGUUAGGCCCUGCCCUAGAAUCUCAGAAUCUUUAUUUUAACAUUAUUUCCUGGUAUCUGUAUGCACAUUAGUUUUUGAAAACCACUACUGUAGUCCAUCCUCUGGUUUUAUUUAUAAAAGGAAAACUUAACAAAUAUUCAAUUCUUCCUGUGUUCAAAGGGCUGAGAAUUAAGACAAAAACCUGUGUUCUGGUUAUGUUUAAAAUUAGGGGAGACAUGAUUUGUCACAGUGAGUCCUGCAGUAAAGAGAGGAACAGGGUCCUUUGGGGUACGAGGGAUUAGGCCUAGGAGGACUUCUCAGAGGAGCUGACCCUUGAGGCUUGCCAGGCCAUCGAAGAAGAGAAUAGCAUUUCAAGCAGAAGGGCUAGCAUAUGGGGAGACAAUAGAAGUGUGAAGAUGGCAUGUUUGGGAUUUGCAAGUAUACAUCAGAUCAUGAGGUUCUAAUGAGGUGAGACUGGAUUGUAAAUUUGUAAAUUUUGCUUUUGUCCUAAAGGCAGUGAUUAUAUGUUUUGAAUGCAUUGUGCCAGAUGUGGUUCCAGACAUUUCACUCAAGUUAAUCACCCCAUGUAGGUACCAAUAUAUUAUCACCUCCUUAUAGACAAAGAAUCACAAUAAAUCAGCAAAUGCAGCCAGGGAGAGGAAUAAUCAAUGCAAUGAUGACAAAUAGAGGUCAAGUUUGCUAAAAGCCUGAAAAAUCCCCAUUGGAUUUGGCAACUAGAUAACUGGCUAGCGUAGUUACUAAAUGCAAUUUUAACUGAAAGGUGCCUGCACACGUCAGAUUAAGAUGGUUUUAGGAAAGUAUGGGGGUGGGGGUGAGGAAAGUAUUGAAUCCACAUUACUCUUGAAAGUUUGUGAACGGAAGCAGAAACUUCGUGGUGUAGUGGACAGUGGGGCACUGGAGUCAGACCUGGAUUUGAACUCUGGCUCUGCCACUUCUGUGUGAUGCAGAGUAAGCUAUGCUAAACUGUCCAAGGAAGCUUGUUUCCUUGUUCAUAAAUGGGAUUAACACCUACUUCACAGGGUCGUUUUGAGGAUUAAAUAUGUGUGAAAUAUCUGGAACACAGCAGAUACUCCAUAAAAUGGAACUGUUAAGCUUAAGGGGACGUUUGUUUUUAAAGAUGGUAAUGUUUAUAGGUUGAGAAGCUACAGCCAGGAGAGGUUGAAAAUGAAGAGGGUCUAUACGGAUGGUAGAAGGUAAUCCGUGGUUUUACAGCCUGUUGUGUCUAGCACUCACUCCACUUCUCAAAAGUGACACCCCCAGAAUUUCCCUCUGGAGGAGUUUAGAAACAAUCUUAGGAAGUGGGUGCUAUCCAAGGAGGGGGAGGGGUGGAGGUGGUUGUGGGAUGAAUUGGGAGAUUGGGAUUGACACGUAUACACUAAUAUGUAUAAAGUAACUAAUAAGAACCUGCUGUAUAAAAAAAUAAAAUUCAAAAAAUAAAGUGGGUGCUGAGGUUGAUUUUUGCCUUAAAUCUAUGCGUAUCAAGCCUGAGGUGAUUUGGGAAAGGGCUGAUGGAGAUCCUGGGGCGCUUUAGCCUUUGCAGGCCUCCCUUGGCGCAGAAACUUGUUGCCGAGGGCUCUCUGGCGACUCCCGCGCUCUUUAGGUUUCCUUACCACGCAUGUGCCUGACGGUCUCGACCCAUUUCCUCUGCGUGAGGCUUGCUGCGGGCCCUCCAAGCGUGUGCCCGCCUCCCUUCCCCCGCAUCCGGAGACGAACCUGGCGGGUGCCCUGCGCACGCUCAGGAACCGGCGGACUGAGGCGCCUCCUGGCAACCGGACGCCAGCCUCGGCCUAGGGAGCGAGGCGGCAGCAAUGGACCAGCCAAUCAUGGCCAUCGCCUCUGCCGCAGUAAGGGAAGAAGGGAGGCGGGGCGGCCUCGGUACCGCCUUCCUUCCCUGCCCUCCCACCUCCACAACAAAGUUCCCCUCACCGAGCUCCGCCCCAAGUCCCACCUCUCUCUAAGCCCAGGCUCUGGCGCCACUCCGCUUCUCCCUACCUUCACGUCGGCGCCUGCGGUCCUUUCUUCCCGAUCGAAACCAAGCCAGAAGUCAUCUUUUGAAAGAGAAGGAUGGUGGAGAAUAACAUUAAGAAACACUCCUAAUCCUGGCACUUACCACUUGAAAACUUUUAUUGAAGAAUCUCUAUCAAAUCCAGUGAUAGCAACAUACAGUUUUAAAAAUGAAGGAAGGAAAAAACCACCUCUUCUGCAAAGAAACGAUCUGGUACUAAAUGACCUUCCCCAGUACAUGCCUCCUGACUCCUUGGACUUGUUAAAGAAGCACGUGGCCACCUACUCGUUUAAAGACAAACCACGGUCAAACCCCAGCACGCUGGUUUACAGAGAUCAGUCAGUUCAGCUUUCGCCAGGACAAUACGAGCUAAUUCCUGCACCAGUUCCCAAGCAUGCUUCCAGGAGCUUUGUAUUUCGUUCUACAGUUCAAAGGUUUCCAACAGGCUGCUUCACUCCUCGUGAAGGCCCAGGACCAGGUCGUUAUGACUUGAAAAUACCUUCAGUGAGUUCUGUUACUUCCUGUUUUCAAUCCAGAGUACCUCGAUUCUUGCCGGCCUGUUCAGGAAUGCAGAGCGCAGGCAGCACUGCGGAGGGACCAGGAAGAGAGCUCCCGAUAAAACCUAGGAGGUCACAUGGCCAAGAAGACAUUCCUAUUGAGUUUUCCUGCCACACAGCAGCAGUAUUCCUGCCCCACUGGAGCUGGGGAGACUCCGCUCAUGAGCGCAGGCAAGACUUCCAGGUCCUCCCCUUGCCUCAGGCUGCCUGGACCCUCAGCCCUCUGCCACGGCUCAGGAAGCCAACAAGGAAGAAGCCUAGAGCAGGCGGGCUUUCCUGCAUGCGGAGGCAUGGGGCCCUGGAACCAGAGACCUUCCUGCCCGCCUCAUCCAGCGUCAGAGAACCUCCAGAAGGCCGGGUGCUGAGUUUCACUUCUCAGCCGCUCAGAACACCUUUCCUCCUUCAAGUCAGGAAGCAGCGGCCGAACCAGCCUAACAAGACUAUGGGCCCGAGCGUAGGGCCUCCCCGAGCCUGGCCUUCCCUGCUCUUCCUCUCCAGCAGCCUCGGGGCCCAGCACGCCCCUUUAGCUGCAGAGCCUCACCUGACAUAUGCGACGGCAAGAGGGGGUCUCAAAUCCCCCUCGUCCCUCAACGCAGACUCUAGCUCACUGGGCCGGCUGCUCUCGCUCUCAGCCAGGGGUAGCCUGGCCUCGCACUGUGCACGGUCUUGUCCCACCCGCAGGGCAGCUGGGGCUGAUGUCCCAGGCCUCUGUGCCUGGGUCAGAGUCGCUGGGUGGACUCAGAGGACGGGGAGGCUUCGCUACAAUGAGUGUCUGGGGCUCGGCUCUGGGCAUCCCCUUCCCUCUGCAAACCAAGAGCAUCUGAACCUGGCCUGGGAGCCACACUUUGAAAUGAAAAAGUAAACGCUUUUGCACAGCAAAGGAAACCAUGAGCAAAAUGAAAAGACAACUUCACAGAAUGGGAGAAAACAUUUGCAAAUGAUGCGACCGACAGGGAUUAAUCUCCAGAAUAUACAAACAGCUCAUGCAGCUCAACUGCAAAAAACCACCCGGUCAAGAAGUGGGCAGAAGGUCUAAACGGACAUUCCUCCAGAGAAGACACACAGAUGGCCAAGAAGCACCUGAAAAGACGCUCAACAUCGCUAAUCACUAGAGAAAUGCAAAUCAAAGCUACACUGAGGUAUCACCUCAC